CAAAAAGGUCAGUGAUUCUCAAGCAAACAGCUCCCUCCACUGGCUCAACCAUCAUCAUAUGCUCUGAAGUCUCAAGUCCCUUGAGUUCCCCUCCUACCAAGUUUGCAUAUAGACCACAGACAGAAUGCUAGGGCUGCUUGAGAAUUUAGAAACACCGAAUUAAAAAAGGUUCUACAGCCAGCAUGGAGCUGAAUGCAGUGCUUGAACUCACAACCUUGAGAUAAAUACCUGCACUGAAAUCAAGAGUUGGACACUCAACAAACUUAGUGUAUUGUAUUGCAUUCUGCCUCCAACUUCACUGCCUACAUUUUCUUUGACUGGCCUUCUUUGAUCACUUCCUAUGGCAGAUUUUUAUUUAUCACCCCCACUUCUCCAUUUAAGUGGGAAUGUUCUUUGCAGCUGAAAUGUACACACCAGUAACACACAUUUUGCCAGAGUUGGAAAAAAAAAUAAGAAGGUUAAAUGUUACUCUUGUAAGUCCUUCAAAGAAAGGAAAGUUGUGGUGACAAUGUUGACCUUUGCCUGAGACCUAUGCUUGGAAACCAGAAAAGGUUAAGACACCCUCCCAAUCAUCUGUGUUCAGAGAAACUGAAAAAGACUACCCUUCCCAUGCAUAUGGGAUCUUCAUAAGGCAAAUGAAACCUGAAACUGUCCUGACAGGACCUCCAGCCAUCCCAGACCACCCAGACCAGUUUGAGCUUAACCCCCGACGGGCACCUGCACAGACCAUGGAGUGACAUCUGGAAUGACCAACAAUUCCCUCUUCCUCAUUAUAAUAAUAAAAUCUCUACCCAAGGAGGGGCACCAGCCUCAUUUAUAUAACAUAUGAUGUAUGUAUAAGCAUGUUUCCUUAAGGUGCAUGCAUGACCUCAUGCCCACCUCUACAAAGGAUGACAAGGCUUCCCUAUUUAAAUAUUCAUCCUAACCCUAAACAAAAGGCACUCAUUCACCCUUUCUCAGGAAGUCAAGGCUUUGGAAAUUAUUCCCAGUGAUCUCCUUAUUUGCCUCAAAUAAAAUUUACUUUGUGU